rnacentral:rRNA from 1 species
ACCCGCUGAAUUUAAGCAUAUAAGUAAGCGGAGGAAAAGAAACUAAAUAGGAUUCCCUUAGUAAUGGCGAAUGAACAGGGAUCAGCUCAGUAUGGAAAUCGAAGGCUUCCCAGCCUUGAAUUGUAGUCUCAAGAGGUAUCGCCAACGGAGGCGCAGAUGUAA